UACGUAGGGCGCAAGCGUUAUCCGGAUUUAUUGGGCGUAAAGAGCUCGUAGGCGGUUUGUCGCGUCUGCCGUGAAAGUCCGAGGCUCAACCUCGGAUCUGCGGUGGGUACGGGCAGACUAGAGUGAUGUAGGGGAGACUGGAAUUCCUGGUGUAGCGGUGAAAUGCGCAGAUAUCAGGAGGAACACCGAUGGCGAAGGCAGGUCUCUGGGCAUUUACUGACGCUGAGGAGCGAAAGCAUGGGGAGCGAACAGGAUUAGAAACCCUCGUAGUCC
rnacentral:rRNA from 1 species